UACGUAGGGGGCAAGCGUUGUCCGGAUUUAUUGGGCGUAAAGAGCGUGUAGGCGGCUCGAUAGGUCCGUUGUGAAAACUCGAGGCUCAACCUCGAGACGUCGAUGGAAACCAUCUGGCUAGAGUGCGGUAGAGGGUAGUGGAAUUCCCGGUGUAGCGGUGAAAUGCGUAGAGAUCGGGAGGAACACCAGUGGCGAAGGCAAUCCCCUGGGCCUGCACUGACGCUCAUGCACGAAAGCGUGGGGAGCAAACAGG
rnacentral:rRNA from 1 species